AGAGUUUGAUCAUGGCUCAGAACAAACGCUGGCGGCGUGUCUUAAGCAUGCAAGUCGAGCGGCAAGGCGGGGCGACCCGCCCUAGAGCGGCGGACUGGUGAGUAACGCGUGGGUAAUCUACCUUGGGCAUGGGGAUAGCCAUUAGAAAUAGUGGGUAAUACCGAAUACGCUCGCGGGGGGAAGGGUCCUGUGAGGAAAGGGUGCUACGGCACCGGCCUGAGAUGAGCUCGCGUCCCAUUAGCUAGUUGGUGAGGUAAGGGCCCACCAAGGCGAUGAUGGGUAGCCGGCCUGAGAGGGUGUACGGCCACACUGGGACUGAGAUACGGCCCAGACUCCUACGGGAGGCAGCAGCUAAGAAUAUUCCGCAAUGGACGAAAGUCUGACGGAGCGACGCCGCGUGGAUGAAGAAGGCCGAAAGGUUGUAAAGUUCUUUUGCGAGGGAAGAAUAACCGCAGGAGGGAAUGCCUGUGGGAUGACAUGAACUUGCGAAUAAGCCCCGGCCAACUACGUGCCAGCAGCCGCGGUAACACGUAGGGGGCGAGCGUUGUUCGGAAUUACUGGGCGUAAAGGGCAUGUAGGCGGUCUGGUAAGCCUGGCGUGAAAGACCACAGCUUAACUGUGGGGUUGCGUUGGGAACUGCUGGGCUUGAGUGACGGAGAGGGAGCUGGAAUUCCUGGUGUAGGGGUGAAAUCUGUAGAUAUCAGGAAGAACACCGAUGGCGAAGGCAAGCUCCUGGCCGAUGACUGACGCUGAGGUGCGAAAGUGUGGGGAUCAAACAGGAUUAGAUACCCUGGUAGUCCACACGGUAAACGAUGUGCACUAGGUGCUGGGGCGGUAGCCUCGGUGCCGGAGCGAACGUGGUAAGUGCACCGCCUGGGGAGUAUGCUCGCAAGGGUGAAACUCAAUGAAUUGACGG
rnacentral:rRNA from 1 species